rnacentral:rRNA from 1 species
AGAGUUUGAUCCUGGCUCAGGAUGAACGCUAGCGGCAGGCUUAACACAUGCAAGUCGAGGGGUAUUAGUCUUCGGACUAAGAGACCGGCGCACGGGUGCGUAACGCGUAUGCAAUCUACCUUUCACAGAGGGAUAGCCCAGAGAAAUUUGGAUUAAUACCUCAUAGUAUUAUGAAAUGGCAUCAUUUUAUAAUUAAAGUCACAACGGUGAAAGAUGAGCAUGCGUCCCAUUAGCUAGUUGGUAAGGUAACGGCUUACCAAGGCUACGAUGGGUAGGGGUCCUGAGAGGGAGAUCCCCCACACUGGUACUGAGACACGGACCAGACUCCUACGGGAGGCAGCAGUGAGGAAUAUUGGACAAUGGGCGCAAGCCUGAUCCAGCCAUGCCGCGUGCAGGAUGACGGUCCUAUGGAUUGUAAACUGCUUUUAUACGAGAAGAAACACUCCAACGUGUUGGAGCUUGACGGUAU